rnacentral:rRNA from 1 species
UGGGGAAUAUUGGGCAAUGGGCGAAAGCCUGACCCAGCGACGCCGCGUGAGGGAAGAAGGUCUUCGGAUUGUAAACCUCUUUCAGCAGGGAAGAAGGAAGUGACGGUACCUGCCGAAGAAGACACGGCUAACUACGUGCCAGCAGCCGCGGUAAUACGUAGGUGGCAAGCGUUAUCCGGAAUUAUUGGGUGUAAAGGGUGUGUAGGCGGGACUUUAAGUCAGACGUGAAAAUCAAAGGCUCAACCAUUGACCUGCGUUUGAAACUGGAGUUCUUGAGAGUGGGAGAGGUAAACGGAAUUCCUGGUGUAGCGGUGAAAUGCGUAGAUAUCAGGAGGAACACCGGUGGCGAAGGCGGUUUACUGGACCACAACUGACGCUGAGACACGAAAGCGUGGGGAGCAAACAGG